rnacentral:rRNA from 1 species
GACGAACGCUGGCGGCGCGCCUAACACAUGCAAGUCGAACGAGCGAGAGAGAGCUUGCUUUCUUGAGCGAGUGGCGAACGGGUGAGUAACGCGUGAGGAACCUGCCUCAAAGAGGGGGACAACAGUUGGAAACGACUGCUAAUACCGCAUAAGCCCACGACCCGGCAUCGGGUUGAGGGAAAAGGAGCAAUCCGCUUUGAGAUGGCCUCGCGUCCGAUUUGCUAGUUGGUGAGGUAACGGCCCACCAAGGCGACGACCGGUAGCCGGACUGAGAGGUUGAGCGGACACAUUGGGAGUGAGACACGGCCCAGACUCCUACGGGAGGCAGGAGUGGGGAAUAUUGCACAAUGGGGGAAACCCUGAUGCAGCGACGCCGCGUGGAGGAAGAAGGUCUUCGGAUUGUAAACUCCUGUUGUUGAGGAAGAUAAUGACGGUACUCAAAAAGGAAGUGACGGCUAACUACGUG